GACGAACGCUGGCGGCGUGCUUAACACAUGCAAGUCGAGCGGUAAGGCCCUUUCGGGGGUACACGAGCGGCGAACGGGUGAGUAACACGUGGGUGACCUGCCCUCAGCUCUGGGAUAAGCCUGGGAAACCGGGUCUAAUACUGGAUAUGACUCCAUGACGCAUGUUGUGGGGUGGAAAGCCUUGUGCGGCUGAGGAUGGGCCCGCGGCCUAUCAGCUUGUUGGUGGGGUGAGGCCUACCAAGGCGACGACGGGUAGCCGGCCUGAGAGGGCGACCGGCCACACUGGGACUGAGACACGGCCCAGACUCCUACGGGAGGCAGCAGUGGGGAAUCUUGCGCAAGUGGGCGAAAGCCUGACGCAGCGACGCCGCGUGA
rnacentral:rRNA from 1 species